CGGUUUAGACGUUAGACUAUAGCCGUGGGAGGUUGUUUUAACACAAAGUGAUUGGUCUCCCUAGCUAGGAGGAUGAGUUACAGUGCUCUUUCCUGAGUGUAAAGCUAGUAAGCAGUAUUGAUGCAGUUGUCUGUUGUUGAUGAUUUUCUUUCUUCCCUGUGGGGAAGUAGAAGGGAAAGAACACAGACUGAGUAGU